rnacentral:rRNA from 1 species
GACGAACGCUGGCGGCGUGCUUAACACAUGCAAGUCGAACGGAAAUGCCCUGCUUUUGUGGGGGGCUCGAGUGGCGAACGGGUGAGUAACACGUGAGUAACCUGCCCUUGACUUUGUGAUAACUUCAGGAAACUGGGGCUAAUACCGGAUAGGUGCUCCUGCUGCAUGUUGUGGGUUGGAAAGUUUCGGCGGUUGGGGAUGGACUCGCGGCUUAUCAGCUUGUUGGUGGGGUAGUGGCUUACCAAGGCUUUGACGGGUAGCCGGCCUGAGAGGGUGACCGGCCACAUUGGGACUGAGAUACGGCCCAGACUCCUACGGGAGGCAGAAGUGGGGAAUAUUGCACAAUGGGCGGAAGCCUGAUGCAGCAACGCCGCGUGCGGGAUGACGGCCUUCGGGUUGUAAACCGCUUUCGCCUGUUACGAAGCGUGAGUGACGGUAAUGGGUAAAGAAGCACCGGCUAACUACGUG